rnacentral:rRNA from 1 species
UACGGGGGGAGCAAGCGUUGUUCGGAUUUACUGGGCGUAAAGGGCGCGUAGGCGGUCAGUGCAAGUCAGUUGUGAAAUCUCUGGGCUUAACCCAGAACGGUCAACUGAUACUGCUCGACUAGAGUACAGAAGGGGCAACUGGAAUUCUCGGUGUAGCGGUGAAAUGCGUAGAUAUCGGGAGGAACACCUGUGGCGAAGGCGGCCCCCUGGUUGGAUACUGACGCUGAGACGCGAAAGCGUGGGGAGCAAACAGG